UACAGAGGUCUCAAGCGUUGUUCGGAUUCAUUGGGCGUAAAGAGCUCGUAGGCGGCUCGUCGCGUCUGCCGUGAAAACCCGCAGCUCAACUGCGGGCUUGCGGUUGAUACGGGCGGGCUGGAGUUCGGUAGGGGAGACUGGAAUUCCUGGUGUAGCGGUGAAAUGCGCAGAUAUCAGGAGGAACACCGGUGGCGAAGGCGGGUCUCUGGGCCGAUACUGACGCUGAGGAGCGAAAGCGUGGGGAGCGAACAGG
rnacentral:rRNA from 1 species